rnacentral:rRNA from 1 species
AAUAGAUACCCGGGUAGUCCACGCCGUAAACGAUGAGUGCUAAGUGUUAGAGGGUUUCCGCCCUUUAGUGCUGCAGCUAACGCAUUAAGCACUCCGCCUGGGGGAGUACGGCCGCAAGGCUGAAACUCAAAGGAAUUGACGGGGGCCCGCACAAGCGGUGGAGCAUGUGGUUUAAUUCGAAGCAACGCGAAGAACCUUACCAGGUCUUGACAUCCUCUGACAACCCUAGAGAUAGGGCUUUCCCCUUCGGGGGACAGAGUGACAGGUGGUGCAUGGUUGUCGUCAGCUCGUGUCGUGAGAUGUUGGGUUAAGUCCCGCAACGAGCGCAACCCUUGAUCUUAGUUGCCAGCAUUCAGUUGGGCACUCUAAGGUGACUGCCGGUGACAAACCGGAGGAAGGUGGGGAUGGACGUCAAAUCAUCAUGCCCCUUAUGACCUGGGCUACACACGUGCUACAAUGGAUGGUACAAAGGGCUGCAAACCUGCGAAGGUAAGCGAAUCCCAUAAAGCCAUUCUCAGUUCGGAUUGCAGG